GACGAACCGUACGAACGUUAUUCGGAAUCACUGGGCUUAAAGGGUGCGUAGGCUGCGCAGCAAGUUGGGUGUGAAAUCCCUCGGCUUAACCGAGGAACUGCGCCCAAAACUGCUGUGCUCGAGGGAGAUAGAGGUGAGCGGAACUUAGGGUGGAGCGGUGAAAUGCGUUGAUAUCCUAAGGAACACCGGUGGCGAAGGCGAGUCUCUGGACAUUUCCUGACGCUGAGGCACGAAAGCCAGGGGAGCAAACGGG
rnacentral:rRNA from 1 species